rnacentral:rRNA from 1 species
GAUCAUGGCUCAGGAUGAACGCUAGCUACAGGCUUAACACAUGCAAGUCGAGGGGCAGCGGGAUCUUAGCUUGCUAAGAUUGCCGGCGACCGGCGCACGGGUGAGUAACGCGUAUCCAACCUUCCCCUUAGUAGGGCAUAGCCCGUAGAAAUGCGGAUUAAUACCCUAUGUUAUUCGUCGAGGACAUCUGAAGUGAAUCAAAGGUUUACCGCUAAGGGAUGGGGAUGCGUCUGAUUAGGCAGCAGGCGGGGUAACGGCCCACCUGGCCUACGAUCAGUAGGGGUUCUGAGAGGAAGGUCCCCCCACAUUGGAACUGAGACACGGUCCAAACUCCUACGGGAGGCAGCAGUGAGGAAUAUUGGUCAAUGGGCGCGAGCCUGAACCAGCCAAGUAGCGUGCAGGACGACGGCCCUAUGGGUUGUAAACUGCUUUUAUGCGGGGAUAAAGUUCACUACGUGUAGUGUUUUGUAGGUACCGCAUGAAUAAGGACCGGCUAAUUCCGUGCCAGCAGCAGC